GGUUCCAUGGUGUAGUGGUUAUCACAUCUGUUUCACACACAGAAGGUCCUAGGUCCAAAUCCCAGUGGAACCU